rnacentral:rRNA from 1 species
GACGAACGCUGGCGGCGUGCUUAACACAUGCAAGUCGAACGGAAAGGCCCUGCUUUUGUGGGGUGCUCGAGUGGCGAACGGGUGAGUAACACGUGAGUAACCUGCCCUUGACCUUGGGAUAACUUCAGGAAACUGGGGCUAAUACCGGAUAGGAGCUCCUGCUGCAUGGUGGGGGUUGGAAAGUUUCGGCGGUUGGGGAUGGACUCGCGGCUUAUCAGCUUGGUGGUGGGGUAGUGGCUUACCAAGGCUUUGACGGGUAGCCGGCCUGAGAGGGUGACCGGCCACAGUGGGACUGGGAUACGGCCCAGACUCCUACGGGAGGCAGCAGUGGGGAAUAUUGCACAAUGGGCGGAAGCCUGAUGCAGCAACGCCGCGUGCGGGAUGACGGCCUUCGGGUUGUAAACCGCUUUCGCCUGUGACGAAGCGUGAGUGACGGUAAUGGGUAAAGAAGCACCGGCUAACUACGUG